AAGCUCCAUGGUCGAGAGGGAAACAGCCCAGAGCAUCGACUAAGGCCCCUAAGCGUACGCUAAGUGGGAAAGGAUGUGGAGUCGCAGAGACAACCAGGAGGUUGGCUUAGAAGCAGCCACCCUUGAAAGAGUGCGUAAUAGCUCACUGGUCUAGUGAUUCCGCGCCGACAAUGUAGCGGGGCUCAAGCGUACCGCCGAAGUCGUGUCAUUGCAGCAUAUAGGGCCAACGCCUGCUGUGAUGGGUAGGGGAGCGUCGUGUGCCGGGUGAAGCUGCGCCGGAAGGCAGUGGUGGACGGUUCACGAGUGAGAAUGCAGGCAUGAGUAGCGAUUCACACGUGGGAAACGUGUGCGCCGAUUGACUAAGGGUUCCUGGGUCAAGCUGAUCUGCCCAGGGUAAGUCGGGACCUAAGGCGAGGCCGACAGGCGUAGUCGAUGGAUAACCGGUUGAUAUUCCGGUACCCGCUGUGAAGCGUCAAACAUUGAAUCCAGUGAUGCUAAGGCCGUGAAGCCGUUCCGGACCCUUCGGGGAAAGGAAAGUGGUGGAGCCGCUGAACCGAUCUGGUAGUAGGUGAGUGAUGGGGUGACGCAGGAAGGUAGUCCAGCCCGGGCGAUGGUAGUCCCGGGGUAAGGGUGUAGGGCGUUGUCUAGGCAAAUCCGGACAACAUGAGCCUGAGACCUGAUGCCGAGCCGAUUGUGGUGAAGUGGAUGAUCCUAUGCUGUCGAGAAAAGCCUCUAGCGAGUUUCAUGGCGGCCCGUACCCUAAACCGACUCAGGUGGUCAGGUAGAGAAUACCGAGGCGUUCGGGUGAACUAUGGUUAAGGAACUCGGCAAAAUGCCCCCGUAACUUCGGGAGAAGGGGGGCCAUCACUGGUGAGAGGACUUGCUCCUUGAGCUGGGGGUGGCCGCAGAGACCAGCGAGAAGCGACUGUUUACUAAAAACACAGGUCCGUGCGAAGCCGUAAGGCGAUGUAUACGGACUGACGCCUGCCCGGUGCUGGAACGUUAAGGGGACCGGUUAGUCACAUUUCGGUGUGGCGAAGCUGAGAACUUAAGCGCCAGUAAACGGCGGUGGUAACUAUAACCAUCCUAAGGUAGCGAAAUUCCUUGUCGGGUAAGUUCCGACCUGCACGAAUGGCGUAACGACUUCUCGACUGUCUCAACCAUAGGCCCGGUGAAAUUGCACUACGAGUAAAGAUGCUCGUUUCGCGCAGCAGGACGGAAAGACCCCGGGACCUUUACUACAGUUUGAUAUUGGUGUUCGGUUCGGCUUGUGUAGGAUAGCUGGGAGACUUUGAAGCUCAUACGCCAGUAUGGGUGGAGUCGUCGUUGAAAUACCAGUCUGGUCGUGCUGGAUGUCUAACCUGGGUCCGUGAUCCGGAUCAGGGACAGUGUCUGAUGGGUAGUUUAACUGGGGCGGUUGCCUCCUAAAGAGUAACGGAGGCGCCCAAAGGUUCCCUCAGCCUGGUUGGUAAUCAGGUGUUGAGUGUAAGUGCACAAGGGAGCUUGACUGUGAGACCGACGGGUCGAGCAGGGACGAAAGUCGGGACUAGUGAUCCGGCGGUGGCUUGUGGAAGCGCCGUCGCUCAACGGAUAAAAGGUACCCCGGGGAUAACAGGCUGAUCUUCCCCAAGAGUCCAUAUCGACGGGAUGGUUUGGCACCUCGAUGUCGGCUCGUCGCAUCCUGG
rnacentral:rRNA from 1 species